UGGGGAAUAUUGCACAAUGGGCGAAAGCCUGAUGCAGCAACGCCGCGUGAGUGAUGAAGGUCUUCGGAUUGUAAAGCUCUGUCUUUUGGGACGAUAAUGACGGUACCAAAGGAGGAAGCCACGGCUAACUACGUGCCAGCAGCCGCGGUAAUACGUAGGUGGCGAGCGUUGUCCGGAUUUACUGGGCGUAAAGGGUGCGUAGGCGGAUGUUUAAGUGAGAUGUGAAAUACCCGGGCUUAACUUGGGUGCUGCAUUUCAAACUGGAUAUCUAGAGUGCAGGAGAGGAGAAUGGAAUUCCUAGUGUAGCGGUGAAAUGCGUAGAGAUUAGGAAGAACACCAGUGGCGAAGGCGAUUCUCUGGACUGUAACUGACGCUGAGGCACGAAAGCGUGGGUAGCAAACAGGAUUAGAUACCCUGGUAGUCCACGCCGUAAAACGAUGAUACUAAGUGUUGGAGGGUUUCCGCCCUUCAGUGCUGCAGCUAACGCAUU
rnacentral:rRNA from 1 species